GUCCUUUUUGAUAGUUCAUAAUUUUUGUGCAAUUUUUUUUUGGAGUCUACCAAAUACCAAAUGCAGACAACAAUGUUGAUUUAGCUUUCAGAAUGUGGUUGAAAUCGUGGAUGAUGGUGGCAAGUCGAUGUUGGAGGCAAAUGUGAAUGAUACUCAAGAGUUGCACACAAAGAGCACAUGAAGAAAGAUGGGAAAGCUCUCUUCUUGAUUCCUCAAUGUGUGGAUCCAAAUAUUUUUUAGAAGAUCAUUGAGGAAGAAACAACCAAAGGAGCUUGGGAUAAAUUGAAUAAAUUGUAUUGUGGAGUUGAGAAGCUGAAGAGAGUGAAAUUGCAGAACUUGAGGAAGCACUAUGAGAUGACUCAAAUGAAAGAAGUGGAAAAAAUCGCAUAAUUUUUCUCAAGAUUGGUAUUGUUGACCAAUCAGAUAAAGACGUGUGAUGAAUCAAUCACUUAUUUACAAAAGACUGAGCAGGCAUUGAGAGCCUUAAUUGUAAAGUUUGAUUACAUUGUAUUGUCAAUAGAGGAAUCCAAGAACCUAUCUGAGAUGAAGUUAGAAAAACUUCAAGCUUCUUUAGAGGCUUGUGAGAUGAUAUUGAUGCAAAAAAAACUCAUAAAGGAAAAAGGUGGUUGAGUAGGUGUAAGACCCCAAUUGUGACCCUAAGAACCCUCAUGCAAUUUCAUAAUAAGCAUUAGCAUUGGGAUCAUACCUUGGCAUCCUCCUUACCUCUCUCUCAUUGGGUUUGUUUUGGGAGAGAUCACCAAGCACCAGGUGAUUGUAUCAUACUUGUAUAUUAUCAUUUUACUAACCAAAAUACCAAAAAUAUGUCUUUGCAUUUGCCUAACUCUUUUGUAGGUAAGGCAUGAUCACAUUGAUUUAUCAAGUUCAUAUCUAGGGUUUAAGUCCCUCAUGACAAAGAGCAUAACCAUGAAUUGAUCCAAGAAUGGUUAUAAGCAUCAUAUAUGGGUUCCAUUGAUUCUUACAUGUUAUUUUGAUCAAAUAUUCUUCAAGAGUUUGGAGUUGGUUUGCCUUGGAAACCCUAGUUUGACUGGGUAUCUUAAGUAACUUCUCCAACAAGUUAUCUCAUCAAUUGAUCAAAUUUCUCAAGGGACACUUCAAAAUUAAUAAUAUUAUGCAUAUAUGAUCUACAAUGAGCUAAUAAAGUCAAAAUAAUUGAAGGUUAGCAAGUUGGUUGAUGGUGGUUGGCCAGAUGAAUUCAUCUAAUCAAAAUUGGGUCUCCCUAGGCUCUAUCUCCUACAAUUUUCACCAUAUGAAAAUGAUUCCAAGACCAAAGUUACUCUAAAUGAAAUCCUAAACAACUUUCAUGUUGAUACCUAGAUCUAGU